GACAGGUUCUGCGUACAAGUGUUGGCGUGGGCAGAAGAAAAGAGUCCUUCUGGUAUGGGAUUAAGAUGCAUGUAGUAGCCCAUAUCACCCUCUAUCUUUUGAUUCACAUUUAAAAGUAUGAGAUGUAUUUUUUUAAAAUUUUUGGGAUGGAGAAAAAUUGGAAAAAGGAAGGAAGUCUCGCAUGCACGCACAGAAGUAUCGCAUCUCUC
rnacentral:lncRNA from 1 species